rnacentral:rRNA from 1 species
GACGUAGGGUGCGAGCGUUGUCCGGAUUUAUUGGGCGUAAAGCGCUCGUAGGCGGCUCGUCGCGUCGACCGUGAAAACCCGCGGCUUAACUGCGGGCUUGCGGUUGAUACGGGCGGGCUAGAGUUCGGUAGGGGAGACUGGAAUUCCUGGUGUAGCGGUGAAAUGCGCAGAUAUCAGGAGGAACACCGGUGGCGAAGGCGGGUCUCUGGGCCGAUACUGACGCUGAGGAGCGAAAGCGUGGGGAGCGAACAGG